rnacentral:tRNA from 1 species
UUCAGAAAAUAGUUUAUUUAAAAUAUUAGUUUUGGAGACUAAUGAUAGGGAAUUUCCUUUUUUCUGA